GUUAGUAGUAUAUUUCAUGUUUCAUACAGAUAAUCCACAUCAAAAUAAUGAGACAUUUUCUCUUUGAACUAUAUGGUAUUCCCUAUUCAGUUACAUUAUGAAUCUAAAAACAUGUGGUAAGCAUGACUGGAGAGGUUUAAUUUUUAUAAACAAAAAAAAAUAGUUAUAAAAAUGCAAAGCUGCUGCUGCAUGCAACCUUAUUGCAAUCAGUAUAUCAUUCCCGUGGCAAUUUCUGUCACAGUAUAUUGUGAAUACAGUUUUUCUAUAGAAAUUAAAUGAUUUAAAAACUCAUAUAUGAAAUGUUUAAUGCUUUCAGCCUGCUUUAUGGCUGGUUUUGUUAUUUGAUUGCUAAUUUGGGGACCUAAUUCCAGCAGUCUGUAUAGAUAACUAAAGCCCAGUUAAGUAUUUUUUAAUUUCCAGUUACUAUGCCAUGCUUGGGAUGUUUGAAAGAAAGAAAGGAAAAUACAUGUAACAUAUUUCACAUUUCUGCACCUUCAUCUUCUAAGUAAAUUUGUGGAUGAUUUGAUGAGGAGAGAGUGAACCUGUUUCUUUUACUCACGUACCAAGGACACACUUGUGGUUAAAGUGAGUUGAUAAUGUGAUGUAAAGAAUAGUUGUCACCAACUCAUUUCUUUAUUAUCUAUAAUGAAAGAUACAUUUUGUAUACACAGUUAAUUCUGUAAACAGAUGCAUGUUCAAAAGAUCUAUGAUGGUCUUGUAAUCUUAAUCUAAUAUAUUUUAGAUAUUUUAAUUUUUCCCUCUUGGGGAAUACACUUAGUAUAGUGUAGAAAAAUACUUCAUGACAUUUUCAUAUAAGGUUAUAUAACUUUUCAUACAUAAACAUGAAGUUUGUUGUAGAAAGUUCUUUAAACCAAACAUUUAAUCUAGGAUUUCAAUUUAAUCUGUUCCUUGAAUCUAUUUUUAUGUGGCCCUUGAGAAUAUAUCCCAAAAAAUUCCAUUGCUAAUACAGCAAUAAAAAUACUUUGGGUACUGACAGACUCCUUGGAGUAUGUAUAUAUAAAAUAACAAACUUGUAUUCAUAUUCUUUCAGUGAUGUGUUGUUCUACAAUCCAGAAUGGCUUUUGCACCAUUUUUUAAACCAGUUUUCCCCCCUUUGCCGUUGGUACCAGAGUUGCUAUAAAUGACUGCUGCUUUAAGGGUUAAAUAUUUUGUUAGUGAAGAUACAACCAGAACACUAAAUUAUGAUAAAACUUUCUGACUGAGUGAUAGGUAAAUUUAGUUGGGCUAUAUUCAAAAUUAUUUUAUUAUCAAACCCAUACCAUUUGUUUUACUGGAAAAGGAAAAGUGGUUUGCUUUUUACUGCUGGAUCAUAUUUUGUGUAGUAAAGAAAUUCUUUGGUCAAUGUUGUAAUCUUUAUAUUUCAAUUUUAAGGUUUCCUUAUCUGUAUUAUAGUAAAUUCAUGAUUUUGAGAUUCAAGGCUCCUAAGAGUUUGAUUUGCUCCAUUUUGUCUUAAAAUAUUCUUUCUCAAUUGUUAUAUCUUAGGUAUUGUACUUCCAAUUUCAACAAAGAUGUCAACAUGAACCAGGCUACUGUUUAAGUACAUGUAUAUUAUAAAUUAUCUUGUGUUAUUAUCUUUUCUAAGAGAACAAAGUCCCUAUUAUUCCUAUUGCAAAGCACACAGGAAUUUAAGAAAGUACAGUAAUUUUU
rnacentral:lncRNA from 1 species